rnacentral:rRNA from 1 species
GGUCAAGCUAGAAAGGGCGCGUGGUGGAUGCCUUGGCAUCGGGAGGCGAAGAAGGACGUGGACAGCUGCGAAAAGCUCCGGGGAGUCGCUAACAGACAGUGAUCCGGAGAUCUCCGAAUGGGGAAACCCGCGCAGGGGACUACCUGCCAACCCAUGGUGAAUACAUAGCCAUGCGGUAGCCAAGCCAGGGAACUGAAACAUCUAAGUACCUGGACGAAAGAAAAUCAAACGAGACUCCCCUAGUAGUGGCGAGCGAACGGGGAACAGCCUAAACCUAUCAGUGUAAGCGGCUGGCGUUGCUGAGUAGGGGUUGUGGGAUCUUGCAGGGAGAAUGGCACUUCUCCCGACGAGUUACAAAGAGUCGAGCUAGUAGAACGGCAUGGAAAGGCCGGCCAUAGAGGGUGACAGCCCCGUAUGCGAAAGCGAGACUCCCCGUGCAGGACACCCGAGUACCGCAGGACACGAGCAAUCCGGCGGGAAUCUGGGAGGACCAUCUUCCAAGGCUAAGUACUCCUGAUCGACCGAUAGUGAACUAGUACCGCGAGGGAAAGGUGAAAAGAACCUCGGUUAGAGGAGUGAAAUAGUACCUGAAACCGUGUGCCUACAAGCAGUGGGAGCACUAUGGCCGCAAGGCAAUGUGUGACCACGUACCUUUUGCAUAAUGGGCCUGCGAGUUACGCUACGUGGCGAGGUUAAGCCGCAAGGUGGAGCCGAAGCGAAAGCGAGUCCUAACAGGGCGACGAGUCGCGUGGCGUAGACCCGAAACCUUAGCGAUCUAUCCAUGUCCAGGUUGAAGAGCGGGUAACACCGCUUGGAGGACCGAACUCACCACAGUUGAAAAUGUGGGGGAUGAGGUGUGGAUAGGAGUGAAAGGCUAAUCAAACUCGGUGAUAGCUGGUUUUCUCCGAAAUAUAUUUAGGUAUAGCCUCGCGAGUUGACUGACGGAGGUAGAGCACUGUUUGGGCUAGGGGUCCCACCGGAUUACCAAACCCAACCAAACUCCGAAUGCCGGCGACAACUAUCCGGGAGUCAGGCUGCGGGAGAUAAGUUCCGUAGCCGAGAGGGAAAGAGCCCAGAUCGACAGCUAAGGUCCCCAAAUCCAUGCUAAGUGGCAAAGGAUGUGGGAACGCUCUGACAGCCAGGAGGUUGGCUUAGAAGCAGCCAUCCUUUAAAGAAAGCGUAAUAGCUCACUGGUCAAGCGAGCCUGCGCCGAAAAUAUAACGGGGCUAAGUCUGGUACCGAAGCUUCGGGUUCUCGUAAGAGAGCGGUAGGGGAGUAUUCUCGAGGAGAUACACGGCGGACGGUGACGACCGAUAACGGCCUGAGAAGAGCUUAUGCAGGCAUGAGUAGCGAUAACGUAGAAUGGAUUGCCAGGACCCGGUAGGGACAAACGGCAGUCCGCGUAUUCGAGAGGUGAUGAGGUCGGAGCUUGCUCCGGAUACUCGGUAAUCCCAGGCUUCCAAGAAAAGCCGCGUACAGAGCCCCUUUGGUGUCCGUACCGCAAACCGACUCAGGUGGGCGGGGUGAGUAUCCCAAGGCGCGUGAGAGAACCCUGGUUAAGGAACUCGGCAAAAUGACACCGUAACUUCGGGAGAAGGUGUGCCGGUCUGCGUGAAUGGACUUGCUCCAAGAGCGUGGUUGGGUUGCAGUGAAAUGGGGGUUGCGACUGUUUACUAAAAACACAGGACUCUGCGAAGUCGUAAGACGACGUAUAGGGUCUGACGCCUGCCCGGUGCUGGAAGGUUAAGGGGAGUUGUCAGCGCAAGCGAAGCGACGAACCGAAGCCCCAGUAAACGGCGGCCGUAACUAUAACGGUCCUAAGGUAGCGAAAUUCCUUGUCGGGUAAGUUCCGACCUGCACGAAUGGCAUAACAACAUCCCCGCUGUCUCGACCAGGGACUCAGCGAAAUUGUAUUGGGGGUGAAGAUACCCUCUACCCGCGGCAAGACGGAAAGACCCCAUGAACCUUUACUGCAACUUGGCAGUGAUUUUCGGGACAAUCUGCGUAGGAUAGGUGGGAGGCUUUGAAGUCGGGGUUCCGGCCUCGAUGGAGCCAACGUUGAAAUACCACCCUGAUUGUUCUGGACUUCUAACCCAGGCCCCUGAUCUGGGUCAGGGACACUGCCUGGUGGGCAGUUUGACUGGGGCGGUCGCCUCCCAAAAAGUAACGGAGGCGUGCGAAGGUUCCCUCAGCCUGAUUGGAAACCAGGCGUAGAGUGCAAACGCACAAGGGAGCUUAACUGUGAGACCGACAGGUCGAACAGGUGCGAAAGCAGGCGUUAGUGAUCCGGUGGUUCUGCAUGGAAGGGCCAUCGCUCAUCGGAUAAAAGGUACUCUGGGGAUAACAGGCUGAUCGCGCCUGAGAGUUCACAUCGGCGGCGCGGUUUGGCACCUCGAUGUCGGCCCAUCGCAUCCUGGGGCUGGAGCAGGUCCCAAGGGUUCGGCUGUUCGCCGAUUAAAGCGGUACGCGAGCUGGGUUUAGAACGUCGUGAGACAGUUCGGUCCCUAUCUGCUGUGGGCGGAGGAUACUUGAGAGGAGCUAAUCAUAGUACGAGAGGACCUGAUUGGACGCACCUCUGGUGCUCCGGUUGUCCUGCCAAGGGCAUAGCCGGGUAGCCAUGUGCGGAACGGAUAACCGCUGAAAGCAUCUAAGCGGGAAGCCGGCCUCAAGACUAGGUGUCCCGAGUCGCAAGACUCCUAAAGACCCCUCGUAGACCACGAGGUUGAUAGGCCGGGUGUGGAAGCCGAGCAAUCGGAGGAGCUAACCGGUACUAAUAGGUCGUGCGGCUUGACCAU